rnacentral:rRNA from 1 species
AUUGAACGCUGGCGGCAUGCCUUACACAUGCAAGUCGAACGGUAACGGGCCUUCGGGUGCCGACGAGUGGCGAACGGGGGAGUAAUACAUCGGAACGUGCCCGAUCGUGGGGGAUAACGAGGCGAAAGCUGUGCUAAUACCGCAUACGAUCUACGGAUGAAAGCAGGGGACCGCAAGGCCUUGCGCGGACGGAGCGGCCGAUGGCAGAUUAGGUAGGUGGUGGGAUAAAAGCUUACCAAGCCGACGAUCUGUAGCGGGGCUGAGAGGAUGAUCAGCCACACUGGGACUGAGACACGGCCCAGACUCCUACGGGAGGCCGCAGUGGGGAAUUUUUGACCAUGGGCGCAAGCCUGAUCCAGCCAUGCCGCGUGCAGGAUGAAGGCCUUCGGGUUGUAAACUGCUUUUGUACGGAACGAAAAGCCUUCUUUUAAUACAGGAGGGUCAUGACGGUACCGUAAGAAUAAGCACCGGCUAACUACGUG